AGUCGGUGGAGUGAUUUGUCUGGUUGAUUCCGAUAACGGACGAGACCUCAGCGUGUUAGUUGGUCACGGUCAGCUUUGGUUGGUUCGUGGCCUCUUAGACGGACUAUCGUCGUUUCAGACGGUGGAAGUUUGAGGCAAUAACAGGU
rnacentral:rRNA from 1 species